rnacentral:rRNA from 1 species
UACGGGGGGAGCAAGCGUUGUUCGGAUUUACUGGGCGUAAAGGCGCGUAGGCGGCCAGCGCAAGUCAGUUGUGAAAUCUCCGGGCUUAACUCGGAACGGUCAACUGAUACUGCGCGGCUAGAGUGCAGAAGGGGCAACUGGAAUUCUCGGUGUAGCGGUGAAAUGCGUAGAUAUCGAGAGGAACACCUGCGGCGAAGGCGGGUUGCUGGGCUGACACUGACGCUGAUGCGCGAAAGCCAGGGGAGCGAACGGG